GCUUUCUGAGUGCGUGCGAGAAAGCCUCUCCCUUCCGAGAGAUGAGGCGAUUUUCACAAACCCUUCGGCUUAAAUAAUCAACUUAGAGAGAAAAGCAGUGAAAUACAACAGAAAGAACUGGUUUCUGAGCUGAUGCUGUCGCCGGAGUGAGAAGCGGAUGAAGCGGGGACUCGUGAGGUAAGUUAAAGGCCGAUGCAGAUUCACAGAGCACCGGAGCGCCCCAAAACAACUUUCUCGUGUGAAUAUACAUAUCAGUAUCCUGCUUUGGCCUGAAGUUGCUAGCGCGCGGGCUAAAGCUAACGGACUGUGAAAGUGUUGACGAGCUAACGAAGCGUCAUUGACUGUUGUGUUUAGCGCCAGUGUGUUCAGCUGGGGUUUUUCUUCAUCUGUGAGAAGUUUCCUGAUUCACUCAUGAGAUGAAGUUUCACCCACGGAUGAACUGUGUCAUUAAACCGGUUAAAAUGAGAGAUGGCACUGAACUUCCAGAUUCACAACGACGGCUGAAGCUUCAUGAGAGACGUGACGGGAUGAACAAGUAUUUUGCUGUUUAUUUUUUCUUUUGAGUAGCUGCUUAUUACAUUCCUAAAUGAUGAAUUGAACUGACAGAAAGCUGAAUCACUGAAUCCUUGAACAGUGAUGAGUCAGUGCAUGUUUGAACUAUUUAGAUUGAAUCAGUGAGCAUUUAAACUGUUGGAAUUGAAAUGUUUGAACUGUUUGGAUUGAAUCAGUAAGUGAUUGAAUUGAAUUAUGUGGCGUUUGAACCAUUUGGAUUGAAUUAUUGAAUGUUUGAAUUGUUAGAAUUGAAAUAAUGAUAGUUUAAACUGUUUGGUUUUAAUAAUUGAGUGUUUCAACUUUGGAUUCAAUCACUGAGCAUUUUACUGUUCAGAUUAUAUCAUUGAGCGUUUGAACUGUUGGAUUGAACUGUUUGGAUUGACCUGUUUGGAUUGACUCAUUGAGCAUUUGAACUGUUUGGAUUGAAUCAUUGAGCAUUUGAACUGUUUUGACUGAACUGUUUGGAUUGAAUCACUGAGCAUUUGAACUGUUGGAUUGAAUCAUUGUGUGUUUGAACUGUUUGGAUUGAAUCAUUGAGCAUUUGAACUGUAGA